rnacentral:rRNA from 1 species
UACGUAGGGGGCAAGCGUUGUCCGGAAUCAUUGGGCGUAAAGCGCGUGUAGGCGGCCCGGUAAGUCCGCUGUGAAAGUCGGGGGGCUCAACCCUCGGAUGCCGAUCGAUACUGUCGGGCUAGAGUCCGGAAGAGGCGAGUGGAAUUCCCGGUGUAGCGGUGAAAUGCGCAGAUAUCGGGAGGAACACCAAUGGCGAAGGCAGCUCGCUGGGACGUGACUGACGCUGAGACGCGAAAGCGUGGGGGAGCAAACAGG